UCAAAUCUCAAUCUCUCAAUUAUAAUUAUUUUGCAAUAACUAGCCACAAAGUCUUAUUAUAGUUUCAACUUCCAAUUAUUAAUUUUGCAAUUAUAAUAUUGUUGGUGGAGUUGGUGAUUUUGCAACAAUCCGAAGUAGCUUUGGAAGACAACAAAUUGGAGACCAUAGACAUUCAUUAUCCGGCUUUAGCUUGCAAGUACUAGUGUGCAUUCGAGAUUGGAUUAGAUCGGAGCGACGCAACCAAAACUCGAAGCGGAGGAAGGCGAAGAGGAAGAAAUUGAAGAUUUGAUAGCUAGUGGACCGGACCAAAUGGAAGACUUUGAAGAUAUUUCCAUGACCGAAUAUGAUGUGCGGGGGAAAUUAACGAAAUGGUUCAAAAUUGGUGAUUUUAUUAUUCUAC